UCCAGCAGCUGAAAAAACUACAUCUACCCGUUUCACUGAACCUGGUCCUUCUCAGGAAUCAAAAUCUUAUUAUUCUCCCUACCCCGUAUACCCUGACUUUAAGCCUCCUUCUUCGCCUUCCCCAAUGGCACCUAGGGUAUCGCCCUCAUUGGUGCCUGAGAUUAAUUCAGGUAAUGGCCCAGUAACUCAGCUUCCAGUAGCAGAUAAACCAAGCAAUGACCAAGAUCUUGAUGAACCAAAGACAAGACCUCUUUCUCCUUUUACCAUGUAUGAAGACUUGAAGCCUCCUGCAUCACCAUCACCUUCGCCGAAGAAUCAUAGUAAUUAAAACACAUUGGAAGCAGGAAAAUCAUGUUGGAAGAACCUGUGCGGCAGCUUAAAAUAUAGGGGGAGUCACUA